GAGAUAUUAGUAAAAAAAUUACAUAACUUUGUCAAAGUUAUAUUAUAGACUAAACCCUAUAUAUCUUA
rnacentral:tRNA from 1 species